AUUGAACGCUGGCGGCAGGCCUAACACAUGCAAGUCGAAUGGUAACAGGAAACAGCUUGCUGUUUCGCUGACGAGUGGCGGACGGGUGAGAAAUGUCUGGGAAACUGCCUGAUGGAGGGGGAUAACUACUGGAAACGGUAGCUAAUACCGCAUAACGUCGCAAGACCAAAGAGGGGGACCUUCGGGCCUCUUGCCAUCAGAUGUGCCCAGAUGGGAUUAGCUAGUAGGUGGGGUAACGGCUCACCUAGGCGACGAUCCCUAGCUGGUCUGAGAGGAUGACCAGCCACACUGGAACUGAGACACGGUCCAGACUCCUACGGGAGGCAGCAGUGGGGAAUAUUGCACAAUGGGCGCAAGCCUGAUGCAGCCAUGCCGCGUGUAUGAAGAAGGCCUUCGGGUUGUAAAGUACUUUCAGCGGGGAGGAAGGGAGUAAAGUUAAUACCUUUGCUCAUUGACGUUACCCGCAGAAGAAGCACCGGCUAACUCCGUGC
rnacentral:rRNA from 1 species